rnacentral:rRNA from 1 species
AACUUACCGAAAGGUGAGCUAAUGCCGGAUGAGUUAUAUAAGUGCAUGUUUAUAUAGGAAAAGUUGGGGAGACCUGACGCUGAAAGAUGGACUCGCGUCCCAUUAGCUAGUUGGUAGGGUAAUGGCCUACCAAGGCGACGAUGGGUAGCCGGCCUGAGAGGGUGGCCGGCCACACUGGGACUGAGACACGGCCCAGACUCCUACGGGAGGCAGCAGUGGGGAAUUUUGCGCAAUGCUCGUAAGAGUGACGCAGCGACGCCGCGUGAAUGACGAAGGCCUUCGGGUCGUAAAGUUCUUUCGACAGGGAAGAAAAUGCCUAUAAGUAACUGUGUAUGUAUUGACGGUACCUGUAUAAGCAGCCCCGGCUAACUCCGUGCCAGCAGCCGCGGUAAUACGGAGGGGGCGAGCGUUGUUCGGAGUGACUGGGCGUAAAGAGCACGUAGGCGGUGUUGUAAGUCAUUAGUCAAAGACUAGAGCUCAACUUUAGUAAGGCUAGUGAUACUAUAAUACUAGAGUAUCAGAGAGGAUUGCAGAAUUCCUGGUGUAGCGGUGAAAUGCGUAGAUAUCAGGAGGAAUACCGUUAGCGAAGGCGGCAAUCUGGCUGGAAACUGACGCUGAGGUGCGAAAGCGUGGGUAGCAAACAGGAUUAGAUACCCUGGUAGUCCACGCUGUAAACGAUGGAUGCU